GGUGCAAGCGUUAAUCGGAAUUACUGGGCGUAAAGGGUUUGUAGGUGGCUUGCUAAGUCAGACGUGAAAUCCCUCAGCUUAACUGGGGAACUGCGUCUGAUACUGGCAAGCUUGAGUGCAGGAGAGGAACGCGGAAUUCCAGGUGUAGCGGUGAAAUGCGUAGAUAUCUGGAGGAACACCGGUGGCGAAGGCGGCGUUCUGGACUGCAACUGACACUGAGAGACGAAAGCCAGGGGAGCAAACGGG
rnacentral:rRNA from 1 species